rnacentral:rRNA from 1 species
CGGGACCCGCACAAGCGGUGAUGAUGUGNUUAAUUCGAUGCAACGCGAAAACCUUACCUACCCUUGACAUGCUAGAAUCUUGCAGAGAUGUGAGAGUGCUCGAAAGAGAACCUAGACACAGGUGCUGCAUGGCCGUCGUCAGCUCGUGUCGUGAGAUGUUGGGUUAAGUCCCGCAACGAGCGCAACCCUUGUCAUUAGUUGCUACGAAAGGGCACUCUAAUGAGACUGCCGGUGACAAACCGGAGGAAGGUGGGGAUGACGUCAGGUCCUCAUGGCCCUUAUGGGUAGGGCUAUACACGUCAUACAAUGGCCGGUACAGAGGGUUGCCAACCCGCGAGGGGGAGCUAAUCCCAGAAAACCGGUCGUAGUCCGGAUCGUAGUCUGCAACUCGACUGCGUGAAGUCGGAAUCGCUAGUAAUCGCGGAUCAGCUUGCCGCGGUGAAUACGUUCCCGGGUCUUGUACACACCGCCCGUCACACCAUGGGAGCGGGUUCUGCCAGAAGUAGUUAGCCUAACCGCAAGGAGGGCGAUUACCACGGCAGGGUUCGUGACUGGGGUGAGGUCGUAACAAGGUAGCCGUA